rnacentral:rRNA from 1 species
UACGUAGGGGGCAAGCGUUGUCCGGAAUUACUGGGCGUAAAGCGCGCGCAGGCGGUCUUCCAAGUCGGGUGUGAAAGCCCUCAGCUCAACUGAGGAAGUGCGCCCGAAACUGUCGUGCUUGAGUGCCGGAGAGGGUGGCGGAAUUCCCCAAGUAGAGGUGAAAUUCGUAGAUAUGGGGAGGAACACCGGUGGCGAAGGCGGCCACCUGGACGGUAACUGACGCUGAGACGCGAAAGCGUGGGGAGCAAACAGG